GGACCUCCACUCACCGACAUCUGCCAAGCACUGACCCAAGGGGCAGGACCAAGGUCAGAGGAGAACCGAAUUUCUGCACAGGGUGGAAGAGGGCCGAGCAGAAGCACAGGAAGGGGAAGCCACGCCCCCUGGUGCUGGCUUUUUAAGCAACAGCGCCUUUGCGCCUAUGCUCCGCCUACCCCUCUCCUAAAAGCUGAGGGCUGGGCUUCAUUUGCAAGUGCUGCGCAUUAGGGGCGCAUUAACGACCCCAGCUGUCCCAAGGGGCCCUGGAGCACUCCACGCCUCCCUAUUCCAUGAGGAGGACGAGGAGGACCUUGAGGAGAAGGCUGCCACCUGUGUGCUGCGUGCCUUUGACGAGCCUUAGCAGUGCCCACAGUUGCAUGCAGGACGUGCCGCUCCCACUUGCAGUCUGUGGAAAGUCAGGGCCUGCUGUGCCGUGAGCUUGGGAGCCCUGGCCAGCGUCCAUCACAGAAAGCAGAGCCACGGGUGUGAGGACAACAAGGUGCCCUGGGUCUGUCCCGCCACCCGGGGAGCAAAGGGAGCAAGUAAGUCUCAUGGUCCUUGUUUCUCACCAAGCUGGAGAGCAAAACCACCUCCAGGCCCGCGGCACUACCUGGCCUCUGGGCCGAGAACAGGUGCACCAUGGUGGCCGCAGAAGUUAAGACUCUGGUGAAAUUGAGGAACGGCUGAGCGAAUGAGACCGACAAAACUGAGAGCCGAGAUUCUGUUAGCUCCAGAGAGGGGAUCCUCUGAGCAGGUGAUGAGACGCCCGGCUGUUCGAGGCUCCCACUCUUCAUGGAGUGGGGGAGGGGAGCCGUCAACAUCAUCAUCAUGAUUAUGACUCCAAGCCUCACCCCCACUGCGCACAGCGAUCGAGCGAGCGGGAACUGCCUGGAGGUGAACCAUCCCUUCCGGGCCUCCUCACGGCUGCUUUCACUCCCAUUUUAUGGACCGAAUGAUGCAGAUGCAGAGAAGCUGCAAAACUUGCCCGAGUCCCAGAGCCGGGAAGAGAUGGACAGAGAAAGGCACAGUGACCAAAGCCCACCGGGUCUCUCCACACGUUAGGCCCAGAAAAGAUCCGGGUGGGUCACAGACGGCUUCACCAUAAAUGCCCAGGCCGCUGGUGAGGGCUGUGUCCCCCACAACUCAUAUGUCAGAGCCCAAGCCUUGGUGACAGGUUCAAGGUGGGCUUUGGGAAAUGGCUGGGCCACAAGGGCGCCUGUGUAAGCAGGGACGCAGAGCAGCCCGCUUCCCAGCAUGGGACAGUGCAACGCCAAGGGGCCCUCACCAGACUCCGGCUCUGCUCUGCUGGCCUCUGGAUCUUGGACUUCCAGGCCCCAGGACUGAGAGAUAUUAAAACUUGGAUCUUGGGGUGGCAGCAGCACAAAAAAGUUCUUUAUAAAACUCGCCUGUGCUGACUUGGAGACAGGCGCUCCCAAGAACCAGCUGUCCCCUGGGGUUACACGUGCAGAGUGACGGUGCCUGCACGUGAGCCUGUAAAUGGGCACGCGGUGUGCGCACACCGUGAGCUCUGUAUCCAGCACGGCAUGGAAACACACAGCCUGCAAAGCACUUUUCUGUAUUGGAAGAGACACUGCAGGUGCGUUGCCUGGAAAUUCCACUGUUAGACCUGGCUAAGGUAAACAAGCCCACCAUGCUGACUCCAGCUGACAGACCGCCCACCUCCCAGCCAUUCAUGAGCCAGCUGCUGCUGCUGGGGCCGGAAGCACCAGGGCCAUAAGUUAAUUUUUAAAGCAGAGGUGUGAAGAUAUGACUGAUGGUGAAUUCUGGGUCAUAAAGUUUUGACACUAGAAAUUUCCUUGGAAUGUUCAUCCAGGGCAGGAUGAUAGCACCCAGGCUCCACGAGAAGUGUGUGUGCGUGUGCAGGUAGACGGGUGUGAAUGGUGGGCGGUUAGGUGGAAAGCCCAUUAAUUUACUGCCUGGUGCUAUUCGGCUUGCAUACCACAUAUCAAUCAAGAGGGCGGAACAGGGCCGGAACUCAAGACACUGCGGAGAGAAGCCAGUCAUGCUGGAGAAUGUAAUCAAAGCUUCCUGCACUUGAUUUCAGGGCCUUGGGAACCUCCAAAUUAUGUGCCCUGGGAGUGGAACACAACCUAAAUUUGCAAAUAGAUGGAAAUUCUGAUUCUCACUGGUCUUUCAGCCAAGAGCGUGGAUGAGUGGGUUGAUUAAUUGAUUGACCGUGACUGGUAGCAGAUCUGGGGGAAGUCCAAGAACAGUCAGCGAACUGUGCAACUGUCUGCACUUUGGACUGCCUUACAGGGUGGGGAGCCCUUUGUUGGCACACCUGAGUGAGGACUACUGCUCGUCUAGGUCCUGUUAUUCCAAGCCCUGCCCUGAGGGCGAACAGUACAAACCCAGAGCUGGAGCUGUGCAGGUGGGAGCUUGGGUUCAGGUUCCAGGCUGGCAUCCAUUAACUGUGAGGCCUUGGCCCACACAUGUGGCCACCCUGUGCCUCAGUUUCCCCUUCUGUAAGGAGUGAUGUCACCAAGUUGUGGGAUUGCUUGAUAAUAACCUUGAAUCAGUGCCUAGUGUACAGGAAGCACCCAAUAAAUUGGGGGGGCACUGUCAUUGUCUAAUAAGUGUGCCCCAGAGUAGGGAAGGAACUUGUUUAGGGUUACACAGCCAAAGGGAGACACGGUCUAGACAGUGGUUCUCAUCCAGGGUGACUCUGCCUCGUGGGGGACAGGUGGCAGUGACUGUCACCAUUUUCAGUUGACACACCCAGACAUGCAUCUGGUCAGCAGAGGCCAGUGCUGUGACUAGACAUUCUGUACACAUGAGAACUAAUAUCUAGCCCUCCAGAUACAAGCUCCCUUAGUGUCUUAAAUCCCUGCCGUUUCAGAAAAGGAUGACUCUGCCCCCUUUUACUCCAGGUACAGGUCUUCCACCCUGUCCCUCCCCACACUAGCAGGAAAUGCCUCAGACAUGGUAGCAUUUAGGGUACAGUGUCAACUUGCCCAGGAGCUCCGCGGGGCACAGUUAUGAGUGUAUCAGGGUGAGUUGUGGGCUGCGGCCUCGAGGUCUAUAUCUGCUCCUCACCCACCCUCUCCGCCCCUGCUCCCCUGCCCCUUUCCUGGCUACCAUGAACUAAGCAGCUUGGCUCUGUGGUACCCUUCUGCCAUGAUGCUCCUGCCUUGGAGCCAGCUGACCAGCGACCGAACCCUGCAAAACCGUGAGCCAAGUUAAGCCUUUCCUCCUUCCAACUAUGGGUGUGAAGUAUUAUGUCCUAGCAGUGGGAAAGUUGGCUAAUACACAGGGCUCUACGGUCAGCCUCUGGGAAACAGAGACCUGUGCACACUCCUCACCAGAAA